AUACGGAGGGUGCGAGCGUUAAUCGGAAUUACUGGGCGUAAAGCGUGCGUAGGCGGUUUGCUAAGUCAGAUGUGAAAGCCCCGGGCUUAACCUGGGAACUGCAUUUGAUACUGGCAGACUAGAGUAUGAUAGAGGGGGGUAGAAUUCCUGGUGUAGAGGUGAAAUGCGUAGAUAUCAGGAGGAAUACCAGUGGCGAAGGCGGCCCCCUGGAUCAAUACUGACGCUGAGGUACGAAAGCGUGGGGAGCGAACAGGAUUAGAAACCCUUGUAGUCC
rnacentral:rRNA from 1 species